rnacentral:rRNA from 1 species
AUGCACGCUGGCGGCGUGCUUCACCCCUGCAAGUCGCACGGAAAGGCCCAAGCUUGCUUGGGUACUCGAGUGGCGAACGGGUGAGUAACACGUGGGUGAUCUGCCCUGCACUUCGGGAUAAGCCUGGGAAACUGGGUCUAAUACUGGAUAGGACCACUUCUUGGAUGGUGUGGUGGAAAGUUUUUUCGGUGUGGGAUGAGCUCGCGGCCUAUCAGCUUGUUGGUGGGGUAAUGGCCUACCAAGGCGUCGACGGGUAGCCGGCCUGAGAGGGUGUACGGCCACAUUGGGACUGAGAUACGGCCCAGACUCCUACGGGAGGCAGCAGUGGGGAAUAUUGCACAAUGGGCGCAAGCCUGAUGCAGCGACGCCGCGUGGGGGAUGACGGCCUUCGGGUUGUAAACUCCUUUCGCUAGGGACGAAGCGUUUUUGUGACGGUACCUGGAGAAGAAGCACCGGCUAACUACGUG